UAUUCGGCGGACGGGUGAGUAACGCGUGGAUAACCUGCCUCAUACAGGGGGAUAACAGUUAGAAAUGACUGCUAAUACCGCAUAAGCGCACAAGACCGCAUGGUCCGGUGUGAAAAACUCCGGUGGUAUGGGAUGGAUCCGCGUCUGAUUAGCUGGUUGGUGAGGUAACGGCCCACCAAGGCGACGAUCAGUAGCCGACCUGAGAGGGUGGCCGGCCACAUUGGGACUGAGACACGGCCCAAACUCCUACGGGAGGCAGCAGUGGGGAAUAUUGCGCAAUGGGGGAAACCCUGAUGCAGCAACGCCGCGUGAGUGAAGAAGUAUUUCGGUAUGUAAAGCUCUAUCAGCAGGGAAGAAGAAAGACGGUACCUGACUAAGAAGCCCCGGCUAACUACGUGCCAGCAGCCGCGGUAAUACGUAGGGGGCAAGCGUUAUCCGGAUUUACUGGGUGUAAAGGGAGCGUAGACGGCUGUGCAAGUCUGAAGUGAAGGCCCGUGGCUCAACCGCGGAACUGCUUUGGAAACCGUAUAGCUUGAGUACUGGAGAGGCAGGCGGAAUUCCUAGUGUAGCGGUGAAAUGCGUAGAUAUUAGGAGGAACACCAGUGGCGAAGGCGGCCUGCUGGACAGAAACUGACGUUGAGGCUCGAAAGCGUGGGGAGCAAACAGGAUUAGAUACCCUGGUAGUCCACGCGGUAAACGAUGAAUGCUAGGUGUUGGGGAGCAAAGCUCUUCGGUGCCGUCGCAAACGCAGUAAGCAUUCCACCUGGGGAGUAC
rnacentral:rRNA from 1 species